rnacentral:antisense_RNA from 1 species
CUUGAUCGAGCCGAGCCGCAACGGCUCGCCGCCGGCCCGCUGCUGGCCGUAGGUGGCGAGCAGGGCCUGCGCCUC